UUCUCCGUUUUUGACUCGUUUGUGUUUUCACAAGGUCCGCAGCUUGUUUUUCGUCGUGAUAUCAUUUUUUUUUUACUCUCAGCUGCAACAUUGUUUAACGAAAAACGUACGGAUUUCCAACAAAAUUCUAUUCCUAACGCCUACAUUAAUCUUUUUAUGCAUUUUGGUUAUUUUCUUUCUUUUUUCUUUCCGGUCGUGGAGUGUUUUCUUUGUUGAUAAUACACUCAUUAUACAUCAAUGCUGUAUUAAAGCCAGGCGUGCGCAUGUCUGGAUCCAAACGUGUUUAUUAUUAUUCAUAAUUAUAAUUUUUUUGUUUACCUAUGUGUUUUUCUCCAUAUUUGUCUUUCUCCCAUUGCUAUCACUUACCUGAACGCGCCCCCGCGGUGGUCCUGCCCAGCUGAACGGUGCCGUUAUAGUGUACAGAUGAGCGUGUUUUUGUUUACUUUUUGAAAUACCUUGAGUAUAUUUCUUUUUCUUCUUUUUUUUUUUUUUUUUUUUUAGAAAAUAUACAGAAAAAAAAGAAAUCCCUUAUCUGAUGCCAUGGGUUGUCUUUAAAUUAUAGGAAAAUAAACGCA